rnacentral:rRNA from 1 species
AAUGAACGCUGGCGGCAGGCCUAACACAUGCAAGUCGAACGGAUCCUUCGGGAUUAGUGGCGGACGGGUGGGUAACGCGUGGGAACAUACCCAAAGGUACGGAAUAGCCUCGGGAAACUGGGAGUAAUACCGUAUGUGCUCGAAAGAGGAAAGAUUUAUCGCCUUUGGAUUGGCCCGCGUUGGAUUAGGUAGUUGGUGGGGUAAUGGCCUACCAAGCCGACGAUCCAUAGCUGGUUUGAGAGGAUGAUCAGCCUCACUGGGACUGAGACACGGCCCAGACUCCUACGGGAGGCAGCAGUGGGGAAUCUCAGACAAUGGGGGAAACCCUGAUCUAGCCAUGCCGCGUGAUCGAUGAAGGCCUUAGGGUUGUAAAGAUCUUUCAGGUGGGAAGAUAAUGACUGUACCACCAGAAGAAGCCCCGGCUAACUCCGUGCCAGCCGCCGCCGUAA